rnacentral:rRNA from 1 species
CCACUAGUUGGGGGUCUCUUCCCCUCUAGUAGUUCCUCACAGUUUUGUGCAAAGUCGGGUCAACUUGGUUGGCUCUGCCUUGUGCUGUAGAUCUGGUUGUUGGCAUAGAGACCCUCCUUUUAGGAGACUUGUGCCACUACUAAGAUCUAGGCUGCUUGAAAAGAGACGUAUGGACCCUUCUUUCAGGAGACCUAUGUCUCGAGUCAAAGCAAGCAAGGCAAGCCUUUGGGGCUCUAGUACUAACUAUCCCCAAAGGUGUUUAUUCUUCUCGUGUAAACCAUGAUGUACGAAAAAGUUAGUUGUUAACUUAAAAACAACUCUUGGCAAUGGAUCUCUUGGUUCUCGCAUCGAUGAAGAGCGUAGCAAAGUGCGAUAAUUAUUGCGACUUGCAUUCAUAGCGAAUCAUCGAGUUCUCGAACGCAUCUUGCGCCUAGUAGUCAAUCUACUAGGCACAGUUGUUUCAGUAUCUGCAACUACCAAUCAGUUCAACUUGGUUCUUUGAACCUAAGCGAGCUGGAAAUGGGCUUGUGUUGAUGGCAUUCAGUUGCUGUCAUGGCCUUAAAUACAUUUAGUCCUAGGCAAUUGGCUUUAGUCAUUUGCCGGAUGUAGACUCUAGAGUGCCUGAGGAG